CUUGAUGGUGGCUGUUCGCAGGGCGCCCUCGGGCGCGCCGGAAUUCGUAUCUCCGCCGGUCGACUAACCUGCUUACAGCCGCCACCCCU
rnacentral:antisense_RNA from 2 species